rnacentral:rRNA from 1 species
UACAGAGGUCUCAAGCGUUGUUCGGAUUCAUUGGGCGUAAAGGGUGCGUAGGUGGCGCCGUAAGUCGGGUGUGAAAUUUUGGAGCUUAACUCCGAAACUGCAUUCGAUACUGCGGUGCUUGAGGACUGGAGAGGAGACUGGAAUUCAUGGUGUAGCAGUGAAAUGCGUAGAGAUCAUGAGGAAGACCAGUGGCGAAGGCGGGUCUCUGGACAGUUCCUGACACUGAGGCACGAAGGCCAGGGGAGCAAACGGG